rnacentral:rRNA from 1 species
GACGAACGCUGGCGGCGUGCUUAACACAUGCAAGUCGAACGGAAAGGCCCUGCUUUUGUGGGGUGCUCGAGUGGCGAACGGGUGAGUAACACGUGAGUAACCUGCCCUUGACUUUGGGAUAACUUCAGGAAACUGAGGCUAAUACCGGAUAGGAGCUCCUGCUGCAUGGUGGGGGUUGGAAAGUUUCGGCGGUUGGGGAUGGACUCGCGGCUUAUCAGCUUGUUGGUGGGGUAGUGGCUUACCAAGGCUUUGACGGGUAGCCGGCCUGAGAGGGUGACCGGCCACAUUGGGACUGAGAUACGGCCCAGACUCCUACGGGAGGCAGCAGUGGGGAAUAUUGCACAAUGGGCGGAAGCCUGAUGCAGCAACGCCGCGUGCGGGAUGACGGCCUUCGGGUUGUAAACCGCUUUCGCCUGUGACGAAGCGUGAGUGACGGUAAUGGGUAAAGAAGCACCGGCUAACUACGUGCCAGCAGCCGCGGUGAUACGUAGGGUGCGAGCGUUGUCCGGAUUUAUUGGGCGUAAAGGGCUCGUAGGUGGUUGAUCGCGUCGGAAGUGUAAUCUUGGGGCUUAACCCUGAGCGUGCUUUCGAUACGGGUUGACUUGAGGAAGGUAGGGGAGAAUGGAAUUCCUGGUGGAGCGGUGGAAUGCGCAGAUAUCAGGAGGAACACCAGUGGCGAAGGCGGUUCUCUGGGCCUUUCCUGACGCUGAGGAGCGAAAGCGUGGGGAGCGAACAGGCUUAGAUACCCUGGUAGUCCACGCUGUAAACGGUGGGUACUAGGUGUGGGGUCCAUUCCACGGGUUCCGUGCCGUAGCUAACGCUUUAAGUACCCCGCCUGGGGAGUACGGCCGCAAGGCUAAAACUCAAAGGAAUUGACGGGGCCCCGCACAAGCGGCGGAGCAUGCGGAUUAAUUCGAUGCAACGCGUAGAACCUUACCUGGGUUUGACAUGGAUCGGGAGCGCUCAGAGAUGGGUGUGCCUCUUUUGGGGUCGGUUCACAGGUGGUGCAUGGCUGUCGUCAGCUCGUGUCGUGAGAUGUUGGGUUAAGUCCCGCAACGAGCGCAACCCUUGUUCACUGUUGCCAGCACGUUAUGGUGGGGACUCAGUGGAGACCGCCGGGGUCAACUCGGAGGAAGGUGGGGAUGACGUCAAGUCAUCAUGCCCCUUAUGUCCAGGGCUUCACGCAUGCUACAAUGGCUGGUACAGAGAGUGGCGAGCCUGUGAGGGUGAGCGAAUCUCGGAAAGCCGGUCUCAGUUCGGAUUGGGGUCUGCAACUCGACCUCAUGAAGUCGGAGUCGCUAGUAAUCGCAGAUCAGCAACGCUGCGGUGAAUACGUUCCCGGGGCU